GGACAAAUGCCACAGGCCACAGAUGGUAGACGACGCCGUGGAGGUGCUGCACCGCCCUGGAGGGUCUGCCUCUGCGGUCGCUCGCUCCUGGGGAGGCACAUGAGCACAGCCAUCCCCGACUGGGCUACGCCAGCCUCUGCAGAGAGUCUGUUCCUCGCAGCCAAUCAGGAUGCUGAUCCAGAAGGCAACUGAAGCCAUGGCCAGUGGGAAACUGCCCAGGCGAGCAGAGAUUCAGAAGGAGGGCGGGGCAGAGGCUUCGGGGCUCUCAGCGUUUAAAGGCUGGGAGAAGAGGUUGAGCCUGCAGGAGAGACCAAGAUCUUAUAAAAAAAAAAGCCAAAAACCCCACAAUUCUUUGAAGAACGAAAGGGGGAAGCCAGCUGCCAUGUCAUGAGGACACUCAAGGGGUCCAUAUGGCAAGGACCCAAGGCUGCCUGCCGUGAGCCACCAGGGAACUGCCAACAGCGUGAGCGGGAUAUGUCGGAAGCAAAUCCUCCAGCCGCAGUCAUGAUGAUUAGAGCCCCAGCCAAGAUUUUGAUGGCAACCUCAUGACAGACCCUGAGCCACAGCCACUCAACUAAACUACUCCCAAAUUCUUGACCCUCAGAAACUGUGACGUAAUGUAUUUUAUUGUUUUAAACCACCAAGAUCUGGGGUACUGGUUAUGCAACAAUAAAUACCGAAUACACACAUACAAUAAAACCAGGCCACGAAGGUUUUCCAGGGGAUUCUACAACACGUUCAAGGAAAAGAUGAUCCCAGUUUUUACGAACCAUUCCAGAGAGAACGUCCCCACCCACUUUAUGAGGCUGUAUAACCUGAUACCAAAACCAGUCAAGGAUAUUAUUUUCAAUGUAUAAGCAAAUCUCACUAAUGAACAGAUAGUAAAAGUUCUAAACAAAACAGCAAGCUGAAUUCAGCAAUAUAUUUUAAAUACACAUAGCAUGGCUUGGUUUACUUCGGGAAUGCAAGAAUGAAUUUACUUUUCCAAAAUCUAUAAAUUUAUUCACCAUUUUAACACAUUGAAGAAGAAAAAUGAUAUGAGCAUCUCAAUAGUUAAGAUAAAAAUGGAUAAAAUCUAACUUUACUGAUUAUUUUAAAAUAUACUUAGCAAACUCAGACUAGAAACAUCACAUUUAUUGAUGAAACAUUAGAGACCUACCCUUUGCAACCAAGAUAGUUCUAAGGAUGCUCACUGUUCUGCUCAACAUUAUAGUGGAGGUUUUAGCCAGUGCAGGAAGAUAUUUUAAAACAGAAAAAUAAAUCAAUAAUGGGUGUAAGGUUUUAAUAGGAAGAAGCAAAUUAUCAGAAUUAUUACUAGACAUAAGAUAAUUAUGUAAAAAUAAAUUACAUUCUUAUAUAUUGGUAAUAAAAAUUAGAAAAUACAACUUUUUUUAUUUUUUUCUUUAGAAAAUAUAACUUUUUAAAAAGAUGCCAUCUACAAUAGCAAUGACAAAUCAAAAAAGAGGAAGGAUACCUAGGAAUAAAUCUAACAAAAUCAGUGCAAGGUUUCUUUUUUUUAUAUACUUUAAGUUCUAGGGUACAUGUGCACAACGUGCAGGUUUGUUACAUAUGAAUACAUGUGCCAGGUUGGUUGGCUGCACCCAUUAACUCGUCAUUUACAUUAGGUAUUUCUCCUAACACUAUCCCUCUCCCAGCCCCCCACCCCCCGACAGUCCAGGCGUGUGACGUUCCCCGCCCUGUGUCCAAGUGUUCUCAUUGUUCAAUUCCCACCUAUGAGUGAGAACAUGCGGUGUUUGGUUUUCUGUUCUUAUAGUGAAGGUUUUUAUAAAAAAAAUUCUAAAACAUCACUGAAAGAUUUAAAAUGACGUAAAUAAAUGGGAAGAUGAACCAUGCUUACUGGCAAGAACACUAGGUAUUGUAAAAAAUACAGAUUCUUCCCCAAAUUAGUUUUAAAUUUACUGCAAUUUUUUUUUUUUUUUUUUGAGAUGGAGUCUCGCUCUGUCGCCCAGGCUAGAGUGCAGUGGCACGAUCUCGGCUCACUGCAACCUCCGCCUCCCGGGUUCAAGUGAUUCUCCUGCCUCAGUGUCCCAAGUAGCUGGGAUUACAG
rnacentral:lncRNA from 1 species